GCCCCUAUCGUCUAGUGGUCCAGGACGCCGCCCUCUCACGGCGGUAACGCGGGUUCAAAUCCCGCUGGGGGUA
rnacentral:tRNA from 1 species